AAAAACUCCGGUGGUAUGAGAUGGGCCCGCGUCUGAUUAGCUAGUUGGCGGGGUAACGGCCCACCAAGGCAACGAUCAGUAGCCGACCUGAGAGGGCGACCGGCCACAUUGGGACUGAGACACGGCCCAAACUCCUACGGGAGGCAGCAGUGGGGAAUAUUGCACAAUGGGGGAAACCCUGAUGCAGCGACGCCGCGUGAGCGAUGAAGUAUUUCGGUAUGUAAAGCUCUAUCAGCAGGGAAGAAGAUGACGGUACCUGACUAAGAAGCCCCGGCUAACUACGUGCCAGCAGCCGCGGUAAUACGCAGGGGGCAAGCGUUAUCCGGAUUUACUGGGUGUAAAGGGAGCGUAGACGGCGGUGCAAGCCAGAUGUGAAAGCCCGGGGCUCAACCCCGGGACUGCAUUUGGAACUGUAUGGCUGGAGUGUCGGAGAGGCAGGCGGAAUUCCUAGUGUAGCGGUGAAAUGCGUAGAUAUUAGGAGGAACACCAGUGGCGAAGGCGGCCUGCUGGACGAUGACUGACGUUGAGGCUCGAAAGCGUGGGGAGCAAACAGGAUUAGAUACCCUGGUAGUCCACGCCGUAAACGAUGACUACUAGGUGUCGGGCAGCAAAGCUGUUCG
rnacentral:rRNA from 1 species